AGGACGAACGCUGGCGGCGUGCCUGACACAUGCAAGUCGGACGGUUCUUGUAUCUUCAAGCUUGCUUGCAGGUGCAAGGAUAGUGGCGGACGGGUGAGUAACGCGUGAACAUCUACCCAUUGGAGGGGGACAAUCCGUCGAAAGGCGGGCUAAUACCGCGUAAGCCGCGAGGUGAGAGGCUGCCUAUUGGUGGCCGCCGAUGGAUGGGUUCGCGUCCUAUCAGCUGGUUGGUGGGGUAACGGCCUACCAAGGCGAAGACGGGUAGCCGGUCUGAGAGGAUGGCCGGCCACACUGGAACUGAGACACGGUCCAGACUCCUACGGGAGGCAGCAGUGGGGAAUAUUGGGCAAUGGGGGAGACCCUGACCCAGCGACGCCGCGUGAGGGAUGAAGGUUUUCGGAUCGUAAACCUCUGUUGUACGGGAAGAAGGAUGUGACGGUACCGUACGAGAAAGCCCCGGCAAACUACGUG
rnacentral:rRNA from 1 species